UCAGUCAGACUGCAGGCUGCAACUCGCCUGCACGAAGUCGGAAUUGCUAGUAAUCGUAGGUCAGCAUACUACGGUGAAUACGUUCCCGGGCCUUGUACACACCGCCCGUCAAACCAUGAGAGUUGGCAACACCCGAAGUCGGUAGUCUAACCGCAAGGAGGACGCCGCCGAAGGUGGGGUUGAUGAUUAGGGUUAAGUCGUAACAAGGUAGC
rnacentral:rRNA from 1 species